rnacentral:ncRNA from 16 species
AUUGCGAGGACUUUAGCAAUGUAGGGGAUGAGCGGCAAAUUCAGGAUCAACAACACAAGGUUGCCGAUGAACAUCGACAUAAUGACCGCCCAGAAAAUCUGUGGAUCGUCAAUCAUCAGGCGUGGGCC